UACGGAGGGUGCAAGCGUUGCUCGGAAUCACUGGGCGUAAAGGGCGUGUAGGCGGUCCGCUAAGUCUGAUGUGAAAGCCCGAGGCUUACCCUCGGAAGUGCAUUGGAGACUGGCGGACUGGAGUCCCGGAGAGGAGGGUGGAAUUCCUGGUGUAGCGGUGAAAUGCGUAGAUAUCAGGAGGAACACCGGUGGCGAAGGCGGCCCUCUGGACGGUGACUGACGCUGAGACGCGAAAGCGUGGGGAGCAAACAGG
rnacentral:rRNA from 1 species